rnacentral:rRNA from 1 species
GUACACUCCUGCGGGAGGCAGCAGUGGGGAAUUUUGGACAAUGGGCGAAAGCCUGAUCCAGCAAUGCCGCGUGUGUGAAGAAGGCCUUCGGGUUGUAAAGCACUUUUGUCCGGAAAGAAAUCCUUGGCUCUAAUACAGUCGGGGGAUGACGGUACCGGAAGAAUAAGCACCGGCUAACUACGUGCCAGCAGCCGCGGUAAUACGUAGGGUGCGAGCGUUAAUCGGAAUUACUGGGCGUAAAGCGUGCGCAGGCGGUUUGCUAAGACCGAUGUGAAAUCCCCGGGCUCAACCUGGGAACUGCAUUGGUGACUGGCAGGCUAGAGUAUGGCAGAGGGGGGUAGAAUUCCACGUGUAGCAGUGAAAUGCGUAGAGAUGUGGAGGAAUACCGAUGGCGAAGGCAGCCCCCUGGGCCAAUACUGACGCUCAUGCACGAAAGCGUGGGGAGCAAACAGGAUUAGAUACCCGAGUAGUCCCAU